CCGAUAAUAGCAAAGCAGCCGAAAGGCUGUGACGCAAAGCUAUAGGGCCUAACCCCUUGUGAAGGGUAUGGCAGCCAGUUGCCGAA
rnacentral:ncRNA from 1 species